UACGUAGGGUGCGAGCGUUUAAUCGGAAUUACUGGGCGUAAAGCGUGCGCAGGCGGUUUUAUAAGCCAGAUGUGAAAGCCCCGGGCUCAACCUGGGGAAUGGCAUUUGGGACUGUAAGGCUGGAGUAUGGCAGAGGGGACUAGAAUUCCUGGUGUAGCAGUGAAAUGCGUAGAUAUCAGGAGGAAUACCGAUGGCGAAGGCAGGUCCCUGGGCCAAUACUGACGCUCAUGCACGAAAGCGUGGGGAGCAAACAGGA
rnacentral:rRNA from 1 species